AGUAGCGGUGAAAUGCGUAGAUAUCUGGAGGAAUACCAAAGGCGAAGGCAGUCCCCUGGUCCGAUACUGACACUGAGGUACGAAAGCGUGGGGAGCAAACAGGAUUAGAUACCCUGGUAGUCCACGCCCUAAACGAUGUCGAUUAGCCAUUGGAAGGACCCCUUUUCCUUUCAGUGACGUAGCUAACGCGUUAAAUCGACCGCCUGGGAAGUACGACCGCAAGGUUAAAACUCAAAGGAAUUGACGGGGACCUGAACAAGCGGUGAAUGAUGUGGAUUAAUUCGAUGCUACGCGAAGAACCUUACCUACCUUUGACAUGGCCAAAGUUCUACCGAGAGGCGGAAGUACUCGUAAGAGGAUUGGCGCACAGGUGCUGCAUGGUUGUCGUCAGUUCGUGUCGUGAGAUGUUGGGUUCAGUCCCGCAACGAACGCAACCCUUAUCUUUAAUUGCUCCUAUUUUAACAGGCACUUUAAAGAAACUGCCAAUGAUAAGUUGGAGGAAGGUGGGGAUCACGUCAAGUCCGCAUGGCCUUUAUAGGUAGGGCUUCACACGUCAUACAAUGGUUAGAACAAAGAGCUGCAAAUUCGUAAGAAGGAGCCAAUCUCACAAACCUAACCUCAGUUCGAAUUGCGGUCUGCAACUCCAGCGCAUGAAGCCGGAAUCGCUAGUAAUCGUGGAUCAGAAUGCCA
rnacentral:rRNA from 1 species